CCGCUGUCAGCCCCGGAAAUGACGCAUAAAUUCGUUUUUGUCCUUUACGUUCCCUUUCGCUGUACCGCACACCUGUUGGAAAGAUGCAUCACUUGAUAAUUCCUCUCAGUGGAAAAUUUGUCAUCGCACUGCCCACUUUGCCCCAGUUACAAACCAUCCAGGCUUCAGCGGCACCUGGAUAUCCACAUAAAAAAAUGCCAUUUCAUUCAGAGAUAAGAAGAUCUUCAGAUGCAAAACUGUAGGAAUGACGGACAUUAUCAUUGCCCUCUUGUCAUUAGAAGAGAUGAAAUGAAAAUACUCCUGGAAAUUUGCCAAGGUACCACACAACAAACAUUCACCUCACUGCUGCCCAGUCUAAACAAAACCUAGACCCUAGUCUAUUAGCACCAUCUUCCAUUGUUAUUCAGAGUUCUCUGUUCAGUUUUUAAUCUUGUUAUAGCAGUGUCCUUAAACCGAAAAA